UCGUUACAUAUAGAAAACUCUCUUGAAGUUACAAUCAGGGUCCGAUCCUUUCGUCCCCCCUUAAGCAAUAAGACUGCAUCUUGCUUACUUGCAAUCCUUUCUAACGUGAGUUUUCAUUGGCUUACGUCAUUACGAUUGUGAUAUCACGUUUCUA